UCUCUCAAAAAUAAAUAAACAUUAAAAAAAUGUUUAAAAAAAGAGUUUGAAAAUCUACUGAAAUAAUUACCUUUACUGUUAUAAGAAUGAAUCGAUUGUUUUUUUCCACAAAUUAUUUGGAUACCUUUAUGAAGAGGCCUGAAUGGAUGAAUAAUAUUUCUCCCAUUCAUCAAGCCUGACAGCAUUAUAAAUAAUAUUACUGAUUAUGAUAGUAAGAGCAGUUAAUGUUCACAAAGCCCCUUCUGUGAGCCAG